ACUGAAUGACAGUGUAAUUCGUGUACAAGCUAUUGCAGAAGCAGCACACAGCAUCAAUCCCAAUGUCAUCGUGUUGUGCCAUGGAGGUCCAAUAUCUGGUCCAAAGGAAGCGGAAUUCAUAUAUAAAGAGAAACCAAAGGAGUACCAUGGGGUUUUAUGGGCUUCAAAGUCGGAAAGACUCCGGUUUAGGCAGGCUAUUACAAAUACAGUUAAAGAGUACAAGUCAAUUUCUAUUCAUUAAGGUUUAACAUGUCUGUACUUUUUUCAUGUCAGUUUUCUGUUCAUUAUAUUGCUAAUGUGGCUGUUAUUUUGUCAUUGCAUAGAGUUUGUGAACAUUAUAGGAUUUACUGAUAUAAAAUUUUGGAAAUCAUGAACACAAGUAUUGUUCAGCCGUUUUCUUUUA